GAUGAACGCUGGCGGCGUGCCUAAUACAUGCAAGUCGAGCGAACAGACGAGGAGCUUGCUCCUCUGACGGUAGCGGCGGACGGGUGAGUAACACGUGGAUAACCUACCUAUCAGACUGAGAUAACCUCGUAAAACCGGAGCUAAUACCGGAUAAUAUAUUGAACCGCAGGGUUCAAUAGUGAAAGACGGUUUUGCUGUCACGUAUAGGUGGUUCCGGGCCGCAUUAGCUAGUUGGUAAGGUAACGGCUUACCAAGGCAACGAUGCGUAGCCGACCUGAAGGGGUGAUCGGCCACACGGGAAGUGAGACACGGUCCAGACUCCUACGGGAGGACGCAGUAGGGAAUCUUACGCAAUGGGCGAGAGCCUGACGGAGCAACGCCGCGUGAGUGAUGAAGGUCCUCGGAUCGUAAAACUCUGUUAUUAGGGAAGAACAAAUGUGUAAGUAACCAUGCCCGUCUUGACGGUACCUAAUCAGAAAGCCCCGGCUAACUACGUG
rnacentral:rRNA from 1 species